GACGUAGGGCGCGAGCGUUGUCCGGAUUUAUUGGGCGUAAAGAGCUUGUAGGCGGCUUGUCGCGUCGCCCGUGAAAACCCACAGCUCAACUGUGGGCUUGCGGUCGAUACGGGCAGGCUAGAGUUCGGUAGGGGAGACUGGAAUUCCUGGUGUAGCGGUGAAAUGCGCAGAUAUCAGGAGGAACACCGGUGGCGAAGGCGGGUCUCUGGGCCGAUACUGACGCUGAGGAGCGAAAGCGUGGGGAGCGAACAGG
rnacentral:rRNA from 1 species